CCUGGUUUCGACGGGGGGAUGGAAGAGCAGAGGAGCAGGUCCCGGGGCACCCGGCCGGGUGAGUAAGGUGCAAUCAGAUUAAUCGCCAAUGAUGAUCUGGACAUGGCGCUAGCGGCUUAAAAACCCGUUUAGUGUCCGACAGCCAGUGUUCCCCUCGACGCUGGGCCCUGUCGUUAUUUAGGGGGGCGUGUUCACCAAGUUCGUUCUUGGCGCGGUGAGCUCGGAUUAUCGGGAACGCUCCCGACCGCCAGCCUGUCGAUGGGCGUGUGGAUGGGUAGUAUAAAUCAUCGACUAAACCUGUAGCGCCUCUCUUGGAAGCCUUUCGGACGCGGGUUCGAUUCCCGCC
rnacentral:tmRNA from 1 species